UACAGAGGUCUCAACCGUUGUUCGGAUUCAUUGGGCGUAAAGGGUGCGUAGGCGGUCGUGCAAGUCGGAUGUGAAAUCUCAGGGCUCAACCCUGAAACUGCAUUCGAUACUGCGUGGCUAGAGUGCUGGAGAGGAGACUGGAAUUUACGGUGUAGCAGUGAAAUGCGCAGAUAUCAGGAGGAACACCAAUGGCGAAGGCAGCUCACUGGCCCGAUACUGACGCUGAGGCACGAAAGCGUGGGGAGCAAACAGG
rnacentral:rRNA from 1 species